UUCAACUGCUGGCUGGAAUUCUCACUCAACUGUACCACUAAUAUGAACCUGUUCUACAGACUCUUGUAGACUACUAUGCACUGAAAAACAGUUAAUAUGUUACAAAUCAAAGCUUAACAUUGAAAUAUGUGAUUUCAAAUGAUUAAGUUAAAUUCAGAUAGGCAUGUUAUGUGCUCUCUAACACAAACAUAAAAUGUGUUGUUGUUGUAGACCUUUUAACAGAUCUAGUUGACCUCCACAGAAUGUGCACAUUAGCCACUAAUAUCUGACUUCAGUAUAGUUUAUAGAGGUGUAUAUGUCUGUCUGUGUCUUUCAGUUUCUAUUUAGACUACAUCAAAUAUGAAGAAGCUGUGCAGCCACACCAUGUUCAACAUGUUACCUAAUUAGCUAGCUAGCUGACAAUCUGGUUUACCUGUAGCAUAUAAACAUUUGUUGGCACAGAAAGAAAGGGGAUACGAAAAAUGAUUGAUCAAAUUCCUCCUGACACUAUCUGACUGGGUUAAUAACUUAAUAUUAAGUUAAUAUGGACCCAUUGUCUUAGACUUGAACUCUUGGACCAAACAGUGGGACUCUGAUUUCAGCCAUAGGGACUUGUGACUCGACUCCUGACUCCAACAUUGGUGACUUUGACUCAACUCAGAGUAGCCAUAGGGUCUUGUGAAUUGACUCGGACUUAUGCUUUUGUGACUCAACUACAACACUGCUGCCAUUACAUGGCUACUACUACUGCUUCAACUACCAAUUCUAGCAAGUUGUACCCCAGGUUGGGUACACUUUUCUGCUGCUCCCUCAAAAGCAUUAAGCAGACAUUUUGAUUAUACCUCCCUCCCCAUAACUCUCUGUUGGGGUGAGGCUUUCUACAAAUAUACGCAGCAAGAGGAUUACAACAGCUAACACAGGAAGCUGAAAUCCUGGGGUCUGCCUUAUGUUCCCUCAGUUCUACCCCAGUUUGAAAAUGUGCUUUUCAUCCAUGACCAGGCCAUGUUUCGGCCAUUUUGCCGCACUAGGCAAGUCUGCAAUAGACCUUCUCCUACCCGGAAAAGAAAUAGGCCUAUAGUGUACAAUGUUGGCCUAUAAUGUCAUUUUAUAACUAGGCCUAACAUUUGAUAGCCUACCAUUUGUAAAACAUGCAGUUGCGUUGGCUUUAUUAACCCAGUCCUGAUUCCUGACAAAGGCUUAUAGGGACUUGUCCUUUAAGAUAUGAACAUCAGCUACUCAUCAGCUACCCAAUGUUAUUAUGAGUUUUCUUGAGGCUUUUUGCAAAGAGAUCAAUGCUGAUGUAAAGGCCUACGUCUUCACAGCAGUACAAACCUGAAAUCACGUAUUAUCAUUACAUUUUAUUCCACAUUGUGAAACCAGGGAUCUAGUGGAAGAUAAAUGCAAAUAUGAUUAAAAAAAGGCCUGUUAUAAGAGAGAAAGAGAGAUUGUGGGAGUAGCUGAGUGCCUAUAGUGAGAGAUGGCUGUUAAUAUCAGUAGGCUGUUUGAGUGGUCUGUGGGCAGGUAAUUAAUCUGAUUGCUGAUGGGUUAGGUUGCUAGAUCAAAUCUUAACCUGCCAUAAGCUACUUUUGUGUCAGCAAGUCUCCCCAGUGAAAAAUGUACAUAUCCACCACUCCAUCUUUCAUGUACAGACCAUUCAAGUAGCUGCACUUACCACCUCACUGAUACUGAUUGUGUAAGCUACAAACCCAAAUUGUCUAAGGAAAUGUGGCUAACAGUAAUAACAUUGCAGACAUAUUCAGAAAUCUGGGCUGAUGGAAUCAUUGUUAUGCAUAUCUACUGGCCAUAAUUUCCGCUUGAGGUCCUGCCCCUCCCCCACUGCAAAGUGCACAACAGUACCAAACUAUCAAAGGUUUUAUAGGUCAACACAGUCCCCCCCCUCCCCCGUCCUGUAUAUUAUUUAUAUAUACUUGUGUUCCCAUAUGUACUUCCUGUAUUUAUGUGUUGUUAAUAAAAAUAUUAUAAUAAUAAAAGAUACACAGUUCCCCCUCCCCCAUGUUGCAGCAUAAAUCUCUGCUCAAGGUUGCCAUGUACACUAUUUGUGGUUUAUUGAUGUACUUUUAAAACUUUGUGGCAGGUGAAAGGUUUUGGUCGCUAGGUGGAAGUUGUUAUACUACUUCUAUAUUGCAACGUUACCAACAUGGCAUUUAAAAAAAAUCAUUAAUUUCGCCGUAUUCUGCUAAAAUUGUGCUAGUGAAGGUGGGUUUUGAAGGCUGGUUUUGAGCAGACUCCUAGAAAUUUGAAAUUGACCUGGCAAACCUGUCCCUGCCUGAGCGUGAUCACCACUGAAGUAGCUGUGCAGCACGUGUUUUAAGGAAGAGGAGGAUGGUUGCAGAUGUUUGCAUUCAUGCAAGAAGGUAAGCUAUUAACUAAACUGUUAACCAAUAUUCUAGCUAAAAUUGUAUUUGGUGUAUUGACAAGCAAUGCAUGUUCUCGUUGUCUUUAUUUUUAAUGAAUUAAUGUCAGUCAUGUAUGUCUUUCGGUGGAAUCCAACAUGCAUUGACGAUGUCUGAAAGCCGCAUUGUGUCAGAUAUACUGCGUCAUGACAUUGAAAUUGGCAGGUUUAUCCAAACAAUUCAUUAAUGUGCAAUUGUUACUUUGCAUGUUUCUACCUUAUAGUUAUUUGUGGCUUGCUAACGGUUAGUGUGCUAGCUAACUGUUAGCGUGCUAGCUAACGGUUAGCAUGCUACCCAUGCUAGUUAAAAAAAGAAAUAUGCUAGCUAUGGUUGCAAGCUAGCUAAUAAGUUUAGCAUAAUUGGUAAACGUGUCUAUGAUUUAGAAUACAUGAUUGUGGUUAACACAAUGUUACAUGCAUUGGAAAAUAAUAUUGCUAUAGUGUAACAAGCUAGCAAGAAAAGCCAGUUCCUUUUCAUCUGUUUUGUCAAGUCAUAAGCCUGUAUGUGUGUUAAAAUAUUUAAACCCCCUCAUUAAAUUAAUGUAUUGAAGUUGCGCCCGUUUUUUAUAGCCCUUUCUUACCCAAAUACCGUUUUUUACAUUGAAAUAAUUCAGAUGAAAAUAAGAAAUAUGUUAAACUAAUUAAGAAAUAAGUGACCAGAUUUUUUUUAUUGAAAACCAUGGACAUUAGUUUGGGUGGGGGGAGGGGCGUGGUGGGGUUCCUAGUUCUUUUUUUUUUGCACAUAAAAGAGUGAAACACCACAACAAGUAUAAGGGUUGUGGAAAGUGUCCAUUUUGGUAGGACUGUGACAAUUCACUGUCUUGAAAAAAUAUAUACAUAUACUGGCAGAUUCUUUAACCAAAUCCCUAUUUCUUACACACAUUUUUUAAGAUCGAAAACAUAAUGGAAGAUAAGAGUCCAGGAACCUACAAAGUAACCAAUGCGGCACUGCAGAGGCUAAGAAGGCGCAUGGAAAAUCUAAAGAAGCAUAGUUCAACUUGUGAGGCCAGAUUUGAAAAGGAAAAGAUAAAUCCCGAAGCGCAGAUGUCAGACACCGAGGCUGCCAGUACCUCUGAGGCUGCCAGUACCUCU